rnacentral:rRNA from 1 species
GACGAACGCUGGCGGCGUGCUUAACACAUGCAAGUCGAACGGAAAGGCCCUGCUUUUGUGGGGUGCUCGAGUGGCGAACGGGUGAGUAACACGUGAGUAACCUGCCCUUGACUUUGGGAUAACUUCAGGAAACUGGGGCUAAUACCGGAUAGGAGCUCCUGCUGCAUGGUGGGGGUUGGAAAGUUUCGGCGGUUGGGGAUGGACUCGCGGCUUAUCAGCUUGUUGGUGGGGUAGUGGCUUACCAAGGCUUUGACGGGUAGCCGGCCUGAGAGGGUGACCGGCCACAUUGGGACUGAGAUACGGCCCAGACUCCUACGGGAGGCAGCAGUGGGGAAUAUUGCACAAUGGGCGGAAGCCUGAUGCAGCCACGCCGCGUGCGGGAUGACGGCCUUCGGGUUGUAAACCGCUUUCGCCUGUGACGAAGCGUGAGUGACGGUAAUGGGUAAAGAAGCACCGGCUAACUACGUGCCAGCAGCCGCGGUGAUACGUAGGGUGCGAGCGUUGUCCGGAUUUAUUGGGCGUAAAGGGCUCGUAGGUGGUUGAUCGCGUCGGAAGUGUAAUCUUGGGGCUUAACCCUGAGCGUGCUUUCGAUACGGGUUGACUUGAGGAAGGUAGGGGAGAAUGGAAUUCCUGGUGGAGCGGUGGAAUGCGCAGAUAUCAGGAGGAACACCAGUGGCGAAGGCGGUUCUCUGGGCCUUUCCUGACGCUGAGGAGCGAAAGCGUGGGGAGCGAACAGGCUUAGAUACCCUGGUAGUCCACGCUGUAAACGGUGGGUACUAGGUGUGGGGUCCAUUCCACGGGUUUCGUGCCGUAGCUAACGCUUUAAGUACCCCGCCUGGGGAGUACGGCCGCAAGGCCAAAACUCAAAGGAAUUGACGGGACCCCGCACAAGCGGCGGAGCAUGCGGAUUAAUUCGAUGCAACGCGUAGAACCUUACCUGGGUUUGACAUGGAUCGGGAGUGCUCAGAGAUGGGUGUGCCUCUUUUGGGGUCGGUUCACAGGUGGUGCAUGGCUGUCGUCAGCUCGUGUCGUGAGAUGUUGGGUUAAGUCCCGCGACGAGCGCAACCCUUGUUCACUGUUGCCAGCACGUUAUGGUGGGGACUCAGUGGAGACCGCCGGGGUCAACUCGGAGGAAGGUGGGGAUGACGUCAAGUCAUCAUGCCCCUUAUGUCCAGGGCUUCACGCAUGCUACAAUGGCUGGUACAGAGAGUGGCGAGCCUGUGAGGGUGAGCGAAUCUCGGAAAGCCGGUCUCAGUUCGGAUUGGGGUCUGCAACUCGACCUCAUGAAGUCGGAGUCGCUAGUAAUCGCAGAUCAGCAACGCUGCGGUGAAUACGUUCCCGGGGCU